UACGUAGGGCGCAAGCGUUGUCCGGAAUUAUUGGGCGUAAAGAGCUCGUAGGCGGUUUGUCGCGUCUGCUGUGAAAACUCGGGGCUUAACCCCGGGCCUGCAGUGGGUACGGGCAGACUAGAGUGCGGUAGGGGAGACUGGAAUUCCUGGUGUAGCGGUGAAAAUGCGCAGAUAUCAGGAGGAACACCGGUGGCGAAGGCGGGUCUCUGGGCCGUAACUGACGCUGAGGAGCGAAAGCGUGGGGGAGCAAACAGG
rnacentral:rRNA from 1 species